UUUACCUUUUUUCAAGUACGAGUGACAGACUUUUCCAUAUGACGGCAGGCAUGGUUGGACUAAUGCUUUCUGUCACAUUCAUGCCUCCGUGUCUCUGUUGGGGACACUUCUGACAUAUGCCAAGAUCACAACACAUUGUUCACAGACACAUUAUGCUGGCAAUUCAUAAUCAUCCCAGGAUGGUCUGCCUCACCCAAAGCCUUCUUCACCUUGUUUCCAAAUGAUGCGUUUCCAAUUUAUGAGGUGUCUACUCUCUCUUUCUGAAUAUUUUUCUCAGUUUUUGCAUUUCUACAGCACUAGCUGGCUGCUGCUGGUCAUCUCAGGAUACAAGCAAGUUUCUACAAAGUGAGCAAGUACAGGAACAUCCUUUGAAAGAAAACAAAAAUAAAACACUUCACUGAUCAGAAAAUUAUUUGAAAACACAUAUAACAUUUUAUCAAACUGCUUAGUUUGGGAAAACCCAGCAGCAAUUGUCAACACCACCAGGCUGCCUCUGCAUACUUCAGUCUCUGCCAGCCAGGAGUGCCAUGCAUUACAACUGAAAGAGGCUGCAAAUGAGGAUUUAUGUGACUAGAAACUGUACACAAGGUGAGGAAAUGUGCAUACACAAGCAAAAAGAAUGGUUGUGUGGAUUUGUUUCUGACUGUCAGUGCCUGUGUAACUAUAUAUGCAGAUUAGGUAUUGCCCUUGAAGACCUGGAGACCAGCCAGUGUGCCUCUUCCCUGGUAAACUUGAUGUAAACAGAGUUAUGCAUCAGUAGUGUUUGUUAUUACAGCAUCUGAGCUACUCCAGCUUCCAAGUCAUUCAGACCAAGGUGUUUUUCUAUAGUUUCUCAUCUGUGCUUCUGGAAGAGUGGCAGUUUCUCAAGUACCCUUUAAACAGCACUUAACCUUUGCAGCUCCAAAGUGAUCUUGCCUCUAAGAUCUUAGAGGGAUUUCACACCCUGCCACGUCCCCCCCCAUCGAUGACCAUGACAGUAACAGAUGUUGGCAUCUCUGUGUUCCCAAGGUGACACUGAAGCCCUCACCAUUUUGUCACUCUCUAAACCGUGUUUGAUCAAAGCUGCAAGAUUUCCUCCUGCCAUGGUGGGGGUGGAUGUGUGUGUGCAUGUUCAUGCACUUGUGUAAAAUGUCUUCUGUCAUCUGUACAUACAGGUGUCUCUAAAGCCAGUCACCUGAGCCACCAAGAUUGGGCCCAAAGUGGUCCAUGCAGAAGUCUUCAUUUUAAUCAAGCUUUAAGAAAACAAGGAAAACAAAUCUGUGGCGUUUUGUAUUAGAUACAUGCGUAGAGAAAAACAAAAGCCCCUCUUCUCUUCAUAGUUGAAUACUUAAAACAGUCAUGGAAAUAUUUGCACAUGUGUAAGGAGUGCUUAUUUUGUGGAUGUCAGUAGAUGUGAAAAUAUUUGGUGCAAUUCUGCAAAGAGUAAUUUGGAAAACUUUUUGUGUGGUAUGAUCCUCUGUAUUUAUUAAAGGAAUGGUAUUCUUUACAAAUUAUAAAUGCACCGUAACUGAUUACUAGCCAUGGACUUGUUGCAGACAAUGAAGCGUGCUGAAAGAAGAAAGAGGUUAAAAGAAACAUAUGUAUGUUUUCUGCAUCUCAGCCAGUAUUGCUUCUGUUAAGUACUAGACUUUGUAAAGGGUCAAACUGGACAGUGUGGAUCUUAAAUUCCUGUAACGCAUCUCACAGGUCUUUUGCUAGUGCUUAUUCAAUUAAAGAAUGAGUCUAUUCUAAAAUUAACUGUGGCCCCAGAGUUUAGCU